UACAGAGGUCCCAAGCGUUGUUCGGAUUCACUGGGCGUAAAGGGUGCGUAGGUGGCCAGGUAAGUUCGGUGUGAAAGCUCGGAGCUUAACUUCGAAAUGUCAUUGAAUACUAUCUGGCUAGAGGGUCGGAGGGGAGACUGGAAUUCUCGGUGUAGCAGUGAAAUGCGUAGAUAUCGAGAGGAACACCAGUGGCGAAGGCGAGUCUCUGGACGACACCUGACACUGAGGCACGAAAGCUAGGGGAGCAAACAGG
rnacentral:rRNA from 1 species